GCCCUACCUCUCACUGGACACUGCAGCAAGAGAGCUGGCCCUGACCCUCAUGGGAGAGCUGCCCCCCACCCCAGAAUCUGGACAGAUGGCCCUACCUGUCACCACAGGCUACCUCUUGUGAUUCUGAGAUUUUAUGAAUGCAUCAUCAUCUGUUCAGUCCUCAUCUGUGCAACCCUUCCUACAUACAAGGACCUGUUGAGGAUACAAAUGUGAACUAAUUAUCUUCCCCAGGGCUUUCAAAAAACAGACAUGUUGAUCAAUGCGAUUCAAUGAAAGAUCCAGAUAUAAACCUACACACUGAUGGUCGUCUUAUUUUUUAUAAAGAAGCCAGAAAUAUACAAUGGAAAAAAGAAAGCAUCUUCAACAAAUGGUGCUGGUCUAAUUGAAUGUCUGCAUGUAGAAGAAUGCAAAUAACUCCACAUCUAUCACCCUUCACAAAACUCAAGUCCAAGUGGAUCAAAGACCUCAACAUAAAACCAGAUGCACUGAAGCUGAUAGAAGAGAAAGUGAGGAAUACCCUUGAAAGCAUUGGCACAGGAGACAAGUACCUGAAAAGAACACCAAUAGCACAGGCACUAAGACUGACAAUAAAUGGGACCCCUUGAAACUGAAAAGCUUCUGUGAAACAAAGGACACCAUCAAAAGGACAAAAUCGCAGCCUAUAGAAUGGGAAAAGAUUUUCACCAACUCCAUAUCUGACAGAGGGCCUAUGUCCAAAAUACAUAAAGAACACAAGAAACUAGACAUGAAAAAAACAAGCAAACAAAUAAUCCAAUUAAAAAUGAGUACAUAACUAAACAGAGAAUUCUCAACAGAGGAAUCUCAAAUGGCUGAAAACACUUGAAGAAAUGUUCAGCAUACUUAGUCAUUAGGUAAAUGCAAAUCAAAAGAUUUUGAGAUUCCAUAUUACACCUGUCAGAAUGGCUAAGAUCAAAAUCAGAUGUGACAGCUCCUGCUAGUGAGAAUGUGAAGCAGGAGGAACACUCCUCCAUUGCUGGUGGGCAUGAAAACUUAUACAGCCACUUUGGGAAUCAAUAUGGUAUUCCCUCAGAAAAUUGGGAAUCAAUAUAUCUCAAGACCCAGCUAUACCACUCCUGGGCAUGUACCCAAAGGAUACUCCAUCCUACCACAAGGACACUCAAUUAUGUUUAUAGCAGCUUUAUUCAUAAUAUCCAGAAACUAGAAGCAACCUAUAUGUCCCUCAACAGAAGAAUGGAUAAAGAAAAUGUGGUACAUUUACACAAUGGAGUAUUACUCAGCUAUUAAAAACAAUGACAUCAUGAAAUUUGCAGUCAAAUGAAUAGAGGCAGAAAAAAAUCAUCCCAAGUGAGGUAUCCCAGACCCAGAAA